ensembl:lncRNA
UUUGUCUCGCUCAGUUGUGGCUUGCCCAUUAGAAAUAAAAACAUAGCUACAAAGAGAUGACCUUUAGGACAAUUCAAGUUGCUUCAGCAAUGGCAAAUAUACUUCAAGUGUUUAGGCAACACUCACAAAUAAGCCGUCUACCUGGGGCGGCAGGGUAGCCUAGUGGUUAGAGCAUUGUGCUAGUAACCGGAAGGUAGUAAGUUCAAACCCCCGAUCUGUAAAGGUAAAAUUCUGUUGUUCCGCCCCUGAAUAGGCAGAACAGGAGAUGAUCGUGGACUUCAGGAAACAGCAGAGGGAGUAGCCCUCUAUCGACGGGACAGUAGUGGAGAAAGUGCAAAGUUUUGUUCCUAGGUGUGCACAUCAUGGACAAACUGAAAUGGUCCACCCACACAGACAGCGUGGUGAAAAAGGUUGAAGAAAUGUGGCUUGUCACCUAAAACACUCAAAAACUUUUACAGAUGCACAAUCGAGAGCAUCCUGAAGAGCUGUAUAACCGCCUGAUAUGGCAAUUGCUCCGCCCACAACCGUAAACGCAUCACCGGGGGCAAACUACCUGCCCUCCAGGACACCUACACCACCCGAUGUCACAGGAAGGCCUAAAAGAUCAAGGACAACAACCACCCGAGCCACUGCCUGUUCACCCCGCUAUCAUCCAGAAGGCAAGUGUCUGUCUGUCAUAUUGUCACGGCUGUUGAAAGGAGUGGACCUGUCACCUAGUGGACCGAGGUGCAGCGUGGCUCAUCAAGACCUGUGCGAUGCUGAUCGGCAAACUCCCGCUGAAAAGUGUCCAUUGCCAAAACCUGAUGGUGGAUAGCACUUAGAUGUGCACCGGAAUGGCAUGUGUUUGCCUUUCUAAUGUAGGUCUUAAAUACUAGCAAAAAUCUAAUGAAAUGUGUUUUGUUAAUCUAUAUCUGAUGAGCCCGUCUAUACUUUCUGCAAAAGUCCCACCUGUCUCUAAAAACACACUCUGCAAAAUGCAGGGUCUUCCAACAGAGCAUGAUUAGCCAUCUGCAUUUCACGGUAAGGUCUACUACACUUCACGGUAAGGUCUACUACACUUCACGGUAAGGUCUACUACACUUCACGGUAAGGUAUACUACACUUCAUGGUAAGGUCUACUACACUUCACGGUAAGGUCUACUACACUUCACGGCAAGGUCUACUACACUUCACGGUAAGGUCUACUACACUUCACGGUAAGGUAUACUACACUUCACGGUAAGGUCUACUACACUUCACGGUAAGGUCUACUACACUUCACGGUAAGGUCUACUACACUUCACGGUAAGGUCUACUGCAUUUCACGGUAAGGUCUACUACACUUCACG